CAGUAGCCGCGGUAAUACGAAGGGGGCCAGCGUUGCUCGGAAUGACUGGGCGUAAAGGGCGCGUAGGCGGUUCGUACAGUUGGAUGUGAAAUUCCUGGGCUUAACCUGGGGGCUGCAUUCAAUACGUGCGGGCUUGAGUGUGGAAGAGGGUUGUGGAGUUCCCAGUGUAGAGGUGAAAUUCGUAGAUAUUGGGAAGAACACCGGUGGCGAAGGCGGCAACCUGGUCCAUAACUGACGCUGAGGCGCGAAAGCGUGGGGAGCAAACAGGAUUAGAUACCCGCGUAGUCCCUGUCUCUUAUAC
rnacentral:rRNA from 1 species